rnacentral:piRNA from 1 species
UAUGAAUACAGAGUUCCCUCUUCCUGGGUGU